GCGUUGCUCGGAAUUACUGGGCGUAAAGGGCGCGUAGGCGGACAAUUAAGUCGGGGGUGAAAGCCCGGGGCUCAACCUCGGAAUUGCCUUCGAUACUGGUGGUCUUGAGUACGGGAGAGGUGUGUGGAAUUCCGAGUGUAGAGGUGAAAUUCGUAGAUAUUCGGAAGAACAUCAGUGGCGAAGGCGACCCACUGGACCAUUACUGACGCUGAGGCGCGAAAGCGUG
rnacentral:rRNA from 1 species